rnacentral:ncRNA from 1 species
GCUCGUAGUUGAACCUUGGGCCUGGCUGGCCGGUCCGCCUCACCGCGUGUACUGGUCCGGCCGGGCCUUUCCUUCUGGGGAGCCGCAUGCCCUUCACUGGGCGUGUCGGGGAACCAGGACUUUUACUUUGAAAAAAUUAGAGUGUUCAAAGCAGGCCUUUGCUCGAAUACAUUAGCAUGGAAUAAUAGAAUAGGACGUGUGGUUCUAUUUUGUUGGUUUCUAGGACCGCCGUAAUGAUUAAUAGGGAUAGUCGGGGCCGUCCGUAUUCAAUUGUCAGAGGUGAAAUUCUUGGAUUUAUUGAAGACGAACUACUGCGAAAGCAUUCGGCAAGGAUGUUUUCAUUAAUCAGUGAACGAAAGUUAGGGGAUCGAAGACGAUCAGAUACCGUCGUAGUCUUAACCAUAAACUAUGCCGACUAGGGAUCGGUGGGUGUUAUUAUUUUGACCUCAUCGGCACCUUACGAGAAAUCAAAGUUUUUGG